rfam:Oryza barthii chromosome 4, whole genome shotgun sequence.
CCUCUAGAUGAGGAAGAUUUGAUUGCUUAUAUUCUGAACGGCCUAGAUGGUGAUUAUGAUUCUGUUGUUUCUGCAAUCGGCAUGAAAUCUGAACCAAUCUCUGUUAUGGAAGUAUACUCUCAGCUGUUAAAUUUUGAGA